UACGUAGGGUGCGAGCGUUGUCCGGAAUUAUUGGGCGUAAAGAGCUUGUAGGCGGUUUGUCGCGUCUGCCGUGAAAAUCCGGGGCUCAACCCCGGACUUGCGGUGGGUACGGGCAGACUAGAGUGGGGUAGGGGAGACUGGAAUUCCUGGUGUAGCGGUGAAAUGCGCAGAUAUCAGGAGGAACACCGAUGGCUAAGGCAGGUCUCUGGGCCACUACUGACGCUGAGAAGCGAAAGCGUGGGGAGCGAACAGG
rnacentral:rRNA from 1 species